rnacentral:rRNA from 1 species
UACGUAGGGCGCAAGCGUUUAUCCGGAAUUAUUGGGCGUAAAGAGCUCGUAGGCGGUUUGUCGCGUCUGCCGUGAAAGUCCGGGGCUCAACUCCGGAUCUGCGGUGGGUACGGGCAGACUAGAGUGAUGUAGGGGAGACUGGAAUUCCCGGUGUAGCGGUGAAAUGCGCAGAUAUCGGGAAGAACACCCGUGGCGAAGGCGGUUCUCUGGGCCGAUACUGACGCUGAGGAGCGAAAGCGUGGGGAGCGAACAGG